UUUUCUGGGUCGGAUACUUAAAUCCAUACUGUAUUUGAAAAUGGAGACGGACCGUCCGACCCGUUUAGAGUCGCCGACUCGCCUCGAUCACUAGACUUCUGUAUAAAUAAUAGCGAAGUGCGAGCCCUACUUCUUUGAUCAUCUCGGGUCAUCUAGGGUUUUGAAAGGAACCGAAGGCUAGACUGCGUCGACUGGGUCAUUCGUCAUCAUGCGAGCUAAGUGGAAGAAGAAGCGUAUGAGGAGGUUGAAGAGGAAGCGCCGAAAGAUGAGACAAAGAUCCAAGUAGGCGUGUCAUCUCUAAGUGGUCUCCUCAGCGGUUCCAUCAUUUAGUGCUAUAUUUUUUUUAGAACUAUUUUCGGCCUUUGAUCUUUUUUUUUUUUUUUGUGUGUUUGAAUGAAUCUAUGGAUUAUGCGGUUUAUCAUCACUUGUUGAAACAUUUGGUAGCUUAUUAUCUAAUGGGCAUUAAUUAGUUUGGCA